GGGUCUUGCUGUGUUGUCCAGGUUGGUCUGGAACUCUUGUCGUCAAGGAGUCCUCCUGUCUUGGCAUCCCAAAGUGCCAGGAUUAUAGGAAGUCAAAGUAGGAGAUUCAUUCAGGAACCCCGGCCUGUUCACAGUGAAUGUAUUGCAGUGUGUUCUGUGCCUGCAUCUGCUGACAUGGUCUCAAGGCAUGGCUACAUCCCAGCUACUUUCCCGGGCAAAUAUUCAACUGGAAAAGAGUACGUGUGAGGAUCAGCAACAUGUUCAGACGACUCUUCUCCGUCAUGGCCCCAUGUGGAAUGAAUCACUAGGAAAUACAACCACCAUCUUUUCAGCUUGAAACUUGUUUUUUAAGCCAAUUUGAUGCCAUUCUAGUCAUGAUCAGCAAAGUUAUUUUAAAGUCCUGAUAAGUCAUUUUCCAAGUCAGUUUUGAACUCUAGGGUGUUUCUUCUGGGGAGGGAAAGAUUGAGUCACAGUCUGGGAUUCACAAUCGACGUGUCUGGCUUGGACAGUAAGUGUCCUUAGAGUAGGGUUUUGUGUGGGGAAGCUAAAAAGCAAAUGUCAUAAGACCUGAGCCAGCGCAAAGUAAACUUCCCGGGUUCUCAGAUUCCCUGAUUUGGUUAAAACUCUUGGUUUCUCCCUCUGCAGGGGGUUGGACCCUGCAGUUCAUGUCCUCACAGGAGCUUGUGAGCUCUGCCAUGCACCACAGUGCUUCUGUGGCCCUGACAAUUAUCUCUGGUGGUGGACGUCCCAUCCCCAAGGGACGCAGUGAGAGACAGACAUCCCAAAGCCACUAAAGAGAGAAACUUGAUGUUAGCAUUCGCAUUUGUUCCCUUUUAAGAAUAAGUAUUAAAGGCAGUGUAGCUGGGAGGUUUCCUAAACCCAACUAAACCUGUUGAGUCCUUUGAUUAAAUCCAUAUCUCCUUAGAAGAUUAUGACCCAUCCAAAGGACUGAGCUUGACUUUUGAGUGAUGUGGAGGGCAGGAGGUCUGCUUCCAUAAUUUUGUUUUUAUUAGAAAUAUUUAUCACACUGUUCUUACUCUUACCUAGGAGUUAAAAUUUCCAGAUGGCAUUUUUAAAGGUAAAAUGUCUUCUUUGUUUUAUGGAACUUUUUUACUGCAAGGGAAUUCACAUAAUGUGAACUUAAUAAUUUUAAAGUAAAAAGUGUCAGUGACACUUAGUACAUUCACAAUGUUGUACAGACACAACCUUUAUCUAUUUCUAAAACAUUCUCAAGACCCCCAAAGGAAACCCUGUACCCAUUAAGCAGUUCCUCUUAGCAGUUCCCACCUCUUAGUAGUCCCCUUGCAACCAUCUGUUAGUCUGCAGUCUGUCUUUAUGGAUGUACUUAUUCUGAUAUUUCAUAUAAAUGGAAUUAUGCAGGACCAGAAAUAAACCUGUACAUGUAAGGUCAACCAGUCAUCGCUAAGGGUGUCAGAAAUGCACAAUGGGGAAAGGACAGUCUCUUCAAUAAAUGGUGCUGGGACAAAUGGAUAGUCAUAUGGAAAAGAAUAAAAUGGGGUCAUAACCUUAUACCAUAUACAAAAAUUAAAUGAAAAUGGAUUAAAGACUUAAAUGUAAGACCUGACACCCUAAAACUCCUAGAAGAAGAGAGAAAAAACUCCUUGACAUUGGUUUGGCAAGAAUUUAUUUUAACUGAUAUCAAAAGCCCAGUCAACAAAAGCAAAAAUAAAUAAGGGAGACUGUAUCAAACUGAAAAUCUUCUGCACAGCAAAGGAAACAAUCAACAAAAUGAAAAGAUAAUCUACAGAAUGGGGAAAAAAUAUUUGUAAACCACGUAUGAGAUAAGGGAUUCAUAUCCAAAAUAUACAAGGAACUCCUAUAACUCAGUAGCAAACAACCAAAUAACCUGAUUUUAAAAAUGGGCAAAGCACCUGAAUAGACAUUUUUCUAAAUAUGAUGUACAGAUGACAAACAGAUGUAUGAAAAAGUGCUCAGCAUUACCAAUCAUCAAGGCAGUGCACAUCAAAACCACAAGGAGAUACCACCUCAAACCCGUGAGGACGGUUAUUACAAAAUAAUAUAAUAACAGGUGUUGGCGAGGCUGUGGAGAAAUUGGAACCCUGUACAGUGUUGAUGGGAAUGCCAACUGGAACUGGUGUAGCCAUUAUGGAAAAUCACACAGCGGUGCCUCAAAAAAUUGAAAAGAAGAAAAUGCCGUGAAGGCCAUGUGAAACAGUUUGAUGAAAAUAUUUCAAAUUGUAUAUAAAACCAGAACGUUGUACCCCAUGAUUGCAUCAAUGCA